UUGAUCUCAGAUUAGACAGGAGGACCCGCUGAACUUAAGCAU
rnacentral:rRNA from 1 species